rnacentral:rRNA from 1 species
GUUCCUACGGGACGCAGCAGUGAGGAAUAUUGGUCAACGGGCGCGAGCCUGAACCAGCCAAGUCGCGUGAGGGAAGACGGUCCUAUGGAUUGUAAACCUCUUUUGUCGGGGAGCAAAAGACGCCACGUGUGGCGUUCCGAGAGUACCCGAAGAAAAAGCAUCGGCUAACUCCGUGCCAGCAGCCGCGGUAAUACGGAGGAUGCGAGCGUUAUCCGGAUUCAUUGGGUUUAAAGGGUGCGCAGGCGGGCCUUUAAGCCGGCGGUGAAAACGCGGGGCUCCACCCCGCCGAGCCGUCCG